rnacentral:rRNA from 1 species
AAUAGAUACCCGGGUAGUCCACGCCGUAAACGAUGUCGACUUGGAGGUUGUUCCCUUGAGGAGUGGCUUCCGAAGCUAACGCGUUAAGUCGACCGCCUGGGGAGUACGGCCGCAAGGUUAAAACUCAAAUGAAUUGACGGGGGCCCGCACAAGCGGUGGAGCAUGUGGUUUAAUUCGAUGCAACGCGAAGAACCUUACCUACUCUUGACAUCCAGAGAACUUAGCAGAGAUGCUUUGGUGCCUUCGGGAACUCUGAGACAGGUGCUGCAUGGCUGUCGUCAGCUCGUGUUGUGAAAUGUUGGGUUAAGUCCCGCAACGAGCACAACCCUUAUCCCUUGUCGCCAGCGGUUAGGCCGGGAACUCAAAGGAGACUGCCAGUGAUAAACUGGAGGAAGGUGGGGAUGACGUCAAGUCAUCAUGGCCCUUACGAGUAGGGCUACACACGUGCUACAAUGGCGCAUACAAAGAGAACGCGACCUCGCGAGAGCAAGCGGACCUCGAUAAACGUGCGUCGUAGUCCGGAUUGGAGUCUGCUAACG